rnacentral:lncRNA from 1 species
GUUAGCUUGGCUAAAUUGUAUUAAAUUUUUCAAAGAAUCAUUCUUUUGGUUUUAUUUUCUCUAAUCCUGUUUUCAAUUUAUUGAUCCCAGUUUUGUUUUAAUACUUAUUAUUACUUUUCUUUUGCUUGCUUUAUGUAUGCAUUGCUCAUCUUAUACACUGCUAAGACAGAGACUUAGAUUAUUGACUUUAGAUCUUCCUUCUUUUCUAAUACAUAUAUUCAAUGUUCUAAUUUCAUUCCAAGGACUGUUCUUGCUGUAUCCCACACAUUUUGAUAAGUUGUAUUUCCAUUUACAUUUAAUUCAAAAUAUUUUCAUUUCUCUUGAGACUUCUUCUUUUACCCAUGUGUUAUUUAGAAGUAUGUUGUUUAUAUCCAAAAAAUGAAUUUAAAAGAAUAAAAAUUAUCAAAAUUUACUUAAAAAAACAAUUACAUGGACAAAAUUAAGCAAAAGACUACACAAAGAAUGCCAGGUGCAUAUGAUUUUUUUCAGUGAAAUCUCACAAAACUUCAAGAAACUAACAAAUUAACAACAAAUUUUAAUCUUCUAGAUCAUACAUAUAGAAGAAAAAAAUUUCAUGUUGCAUUUAUGGGACAAUUUUAACAUUAAUACCCAAGCUAUAAAAAUAUUAGAUUAAAAAUUAAUCAAAUGGAAAAAUAUUUUUAAACAAAAUAUUAGUUAAUAUGAUAGUAGCAUAUUAGAAUGUAAAAUACCACCAUUAAGUUUGUUGCAUGCUAAGGCUCUUCAGUAUUAGAAUAUCUGGUACUGAAGUUCAUCUUCUUAACGGAAAAAACAGAUAAAAUAAUUUUGCCAGCUCCAUGAGUUUCCAAAAAGAGAUUUGAAAAACUCCCACAUAUAUUUCUGACAAAAUUCUUAAUUAAAAAAAAAUAGCCCCUUAAUGCAAUCAAAAGCAUAUGUGUAUCUCAAAAAAAAGCCAGCAUCAUACUCAAUAGCAAAACUCAAGGCAGUUCUCAAAGUCUGGCCCCUGGGCCAGAAGCAUAAGAAGCACCUGGGAACUUGUUAGAAAUAUAAAUGCUUGUCUUCCUCCCCACUAUGUACUGAGUCAAGAAUCUGGAUGUGGGGUCCAGUUUUCACAAGACUUCCAUAGAAUUUUUUCAUGCAAAAGUUUGAGAAUCAUUUUUAUGAGCAAGCUUUUAGAGCUACUUCUAUUGAAUAUUAUAAUGGGAAUAUUUUCAAUUCAACUGGAGAAGAAUAUAAAAUAUGAGUGUAAAAAUUGGAAAAUAAGAACAUUUUUUUUCUCUCUUGAGCUGUGCCCGCAGCAUGCUGAAGUUCCCAGGCUAGGGAUCGAACCCACUCCAAAGCAGCAACCCAAGCAAUAGCAGUGACAAUGCCAGAUCCUUAACCCACUGUCUUUUCUAUAUAGAAACUAAAAGUAAUGAUGUGCCAUUCAGUUUUGUUGUUCUACUAAAAAUAAAAAACUAUACUUACAUAAGAUCUGAGUAAAAAUGUCAGCAACAUAUUUCUUGAAAGAUAAGAGAAGCUAACACUAAGGGUUGUAUGAGAAUAAUUGGAAACAUUUGGAAAAAUGAUGAGUAAUGAAAGGAGAUUAACUCAAUUAUGUAAUAUAAAAAGUUACAGCAAUUCCAACACUGUGUUACUGGCACAAGAAUAGACAGAUCUCUUGAACAGAAUAGAGAGAAGUAUAAAUCUUUAAACAUUUAAUAAAUGAUAAAAAUGAUAUUUCAAAGCAGUGGGGAAAUAUGUUUCAUUGAGUAAAUUCUUCUGGGUCCACUGAACUUUUUACCUAAAAAAAAUGCUUGGCUUUUAAAUUAUAAUAUACAAAAAAUUUUAUAAUGAAUAAAAUAUUUAAAUUUAAAAUAUAAAAAUGAAAAGUAUUAGAAAAAACAUGAGAAAUCACCCCCAAAAAAUGCCAAUUAUGGAAGACAUCAUACAAAGAUAUACUUGACUACAUAAAAUUUAAAAGCCUUUGAACAACUAAAUAUUGUAAUAGAAGUUAUACAAAAGAAAAACUGAAGGAAAAGAACUAAAAUAUAUUUCUAUAGGAAUUCAAAAAAAACCUUCAACAUUGGUGAAAUACAAACCUGUCAUGUUAUGUUAAGUAAGAUAAUAGUAAGGUUAAGGCCAGUCUCUAUUAGUAUGCCCUAAUUUGUGCUGGAAAUAAAGAGGAUAUACAUAUACACACACAGAUAUAUAUACAUAUAUAUGUAUAUAUGGAAACAAUAUGUCUGAGACUUCACCGAGUAAAGGUAGAUGGCUGCUAUCUCUGAAGAGUAAGAUAAUGGGUAUGAGAAGAGAAAGAAUCUCUCUUUUCAUUGUGUAUUCUGUUAAAAUACAAGGCCCUGAGUAUGUUUAUAUGUUAAAACAAAAACAAAACAAAUUACAGAAAAUCCCCAAGUUGGAAUGGAAUCCCAAACAAACAGGGGGAUAUGUCUAUUCAAAGAUACAGAAAUUAAAUGACUAUGUUGGUGAUUAUGCGGUAAAACCCACAUAAUCACAUAUCUUUGUUGAAAAUUUAUACUGAACACAACAGGUAUGAACAAAGAGUUAGCACCAGUAGCUAUAAAGCAUUUAAAAGACAAGCCCUCCUCUGGUAAAUGAGAGAGUAAAUUAAAUCUGUUCAACAGUUAUAUUUAUCUAUAUAUUCAAAUAUGUGUACACAUUACUAAAUAAUUAUCACAGCAUUGAUUAUGAUUUUAUAAAAAGAAAAGAAACAAGAAUCCAUGAAUAAAAGGACUAGUUAAAUUUACACAAUCUACUAAUUAAAAAGAAUGAGAUCUUCCCAUAUUUUGUGAAAUAUAAAACUGUCAAGAUGUAUUAAGUUAAAUAACAGUAAGAUAUAGGCCAGUCUCUAUUAGUAUGCCCUAAUUGGCAUUGGAAAGAAAAGAGGAAGUAUUUAUCUGUACAUGCAUAGGACAUGUCUGAGAAUAUGCCCAAGAAACUGUAGCUGGCCGUUGUCUCUGGAGACAGGAUUACAGGUAAGACACAGCUUGAGUCUCUCUUAUGACAUACUCUUUGGUAUUAUUCUUUGACCACGUGUAAGCUAUAAAAAUAAUUUUUAAAACAACCACCACAUAAUAUUUAAAUACUAACAUAUCACUUUAAAUUUUAGGAAGCAUGAUGCAGCAAUAGCUAGUGUUUAUUGAGGUUUGCUAUGAUUGACACUGUCUAAUGUUUAAGAUACAUUAAUUUAUUUAUUGCAAAAAUAGUUUUAAAACUGGUUUCUUGUAGCCAGUAGUUAGAUAUUUCACAGUUGGAAAAACAAAGCAAGUACGUUAAAGUUAGAUCAUUGAUCAAAGUCAAAUGGCUAGUAACUGGCAAAUGAAGAUUUCUAGUCCACGUAGUAAACUCCAACAUUAAAGUUUUUAGCUACUAAGGUAAUCACCUAGCAAAAUCCUGGCAUAUGUUAGACUGUCAGUAGACGUUUGUUUGUUUGUUUGUUCUGUCUUUGUUUCAUGAUUGAAUUGAUUCAUGGAUCAAUGUCAAUCUAGAAAGGGAAAUCUAUCAGCAAACCACAGUACUGUCCAAUUUAACACAUAUUAACUCUUGGAUAAGAACACAGAGGGCAACCAGGUAAUUUUACUGGAAGAUAUUAAAGGCACAAAGUUAAGUUUAUUGAAAUGAUAAAAGAAAAAAAACCAUGAAAUACUGCUGAGAUAGUCAUGGGCAAUGUCAUGAAUGAAAGUAAAUGUAAAAUUGUGGUAAGAAACCAUAGGGUAAAUUCGAAUAGAUAUGUCUCUACCCAAGGUCACUAAAUCAGUUUUCAAUUUUAUUUACAUACCUUUGGCAGAAAGAUUAAGUGAAAUUCGGACAUGGAAUUUAAAUAAUCUCAUUAAU